ACCAAGAGCUCCUAAAGCACAGAGAGAAGGACACACCUGGGUCCCCUCCUGUGUCCACCCCCACACCCACAUGCCCAACCUUCAGGCCUGGAGGGACUUACCCAAAACACCAUUACCAGGUCAAACUCCUUCCCGGCUUCUACCACGUGGAUCUUCAGUGACUGUUUGUUCUGGAUGUUGAGCUCAGGGACUGCAUGAGAAGCCAGCUCAUUAAGGACAUGGUCUCCCUCUCUUCCCCCUCUUGUCCCUACACCCUCUCCACUUCCUGCUCGGCUUUCCUUACAGGACUGGGGCACCAGGAGCUGAAUUUCCUGAGAGGGUCUGGAGCUGCAGCAAGAGGAAUGGAGAUUUGCCUAGAGACCGGAUUUCUGGAUGGGGCUGAGGGGCCCAUGCCUGAAGUGAGGUCCCACGCACCACUGAGAAGACUGAGGGCUGGUGUGCUGCCCCAGGGGUGCCUGGGGGUGCC